CCUACGGGGGGCAGCAGUGAGGAAUAUUGGUCAAUGGACGAGAGUCUGAACCAGCCAAGUAGCGUGAAGGAUGACUGCUCUAUGGGUUGUAAACUUCUUUUAUAUGGGAAUAAAAUGUUCCGAGUGUGGGAUUUUGUAUGUACCAUAUGAAUAAGGAUCGGCUAACUCCGUGCCAUCAGCCGCGGUAAUACGGAGGAUCCGAGCGUUAUCCGGAUUUAUUGGGUUUAAAGGGAGCGUAGGUGGAUUGUUAAGUCAGUUGUGAAAGUUUGGGGUUCAACCGUAAAAUUGAAGUUGAACCUGGCAGUCUUGAGGACGGUAGAGGUGGGCGGAAUUCGUGUGGAAGCGGGGAAAUGCUAAGA
rnacentral:rRNA from 1 species